CAGUCGCCACGGUAACACGUAGGUGGCAAGCGUUGUCCGGAAUUAUUGGGCGUAAAGGGCUCGCAGGCGGUUUCUUAAGUCUGAUGUGAAAGCCCCCGGCUCAACCGGGGAGGGUCAUUGGAAACUGGGAAACUUGAGUGCAGAAGAGGAGAGUGGAAUCCCACGUGUAGCGGUGAAAUGCGUAGAGAUGCGGAGGAACACCAGUGGCGAAGGCGACUCUCUGGUCUGUAACUGACGCUGAGGAGCGAAAGCGUGGGGAGCGAACAGGAUUAGAUACCCCCGUAGUCCCUGUCUCUUAUAC
rnacentral:rRNA from 1 species